rnacentral:rRNA from 1 species
CACUGAGUACGAGUUGAUCAUGGCUACAGGACGAACGCUGGCGGCGUGCCUAACACAUGCAAGUCGAACGGACGAUGGAGAGCUUGCUCUCCAAAGUUAGUGGCGAACGGGUGAGUAACGCGUGGGCAACCUGCCUUUCAGAGGGGGACAACAGUUGGAAACGACUGCUAAUACCGCAUAACAUGAUCUGGCCGCAUGACCGGAUCAUCAAAGAUUUAUCGCUGAAAGAUGGGCUCGCGUCUGAUUAGCUAGUUGGUGGGGUAACGGCCCACCAAGGCGACGAUCAGUAGCCGGACUGAGAGGUUGAACGGCCACAUUGGGACUGAGAUACGGCCCAGACUCCUACGGGAGGCAGCAGUGGGGAAUAUUGGGCAAUGGGGGCAACCCUGACCCAGCAACGCCGCAUGAAGGAAGAAGGCUUUCGGGUUGUAAACUUCUUUUACCAGGGACGAAGACGUGACGGUACCUGGAGAAAAAGCCACGGCUAACUACGUG